UACGAAGGGUGCAAGCGUUACUCGGAAUUACUGGGCGUAAAGGGUGCGUAGGUGGUUGUUUAAGUCUGUUGUGAAAGCCCCGGGCUCAACCUGGGAAUGGCAAUGGAUACUGGACAGCUAGAGUGCGGUAGAGGGUAGUGGAAUUCCCGGUGUGAGCAGUGAAAUGCGUAGAGAUCGGGAGGAACACCAGUGGCGAAGGCGGCUACCUGGACCAGCACUGACACUGAAGCACGAAAGCGUGGGAGCAAACAGG
rnacentral:rRNA from 1 species